GUCGAGCGAGGUUUAAGUAGCUUGCUACUUAGACCUAGCGGCGGACGGCUGUGUAACGCGUGGGCAACCUACCCUAUACAUCGGAAUAACUCAUCGAAAGGUGGGCUAAUGCCGAAUACCUCCUUUAUAUCGAUUGUUAUUUAGGAGAAAGCUUUUGCGGUAUAGGAUGGGCCCGCGUCUGAUUAGCUAGUUGGUGAGGUAACGGCUCACCAAGGCGACGAUCAGUAGCCGACCUGAGAGGGUGAUCGGCCACAUUGGAACUGAGACACGGUCCAAACUCCUACGGGAGGCAGCAGUGGGGAAUAUUGCACAAUGGGGGAAACCCUGAUGCAGCAACGCCGCGUGAGCGAUGAAGGCCUUCGGGUCGUAAAGCUCUUUUCUAAGGGAAGAAUUCUUGACGGUACCUUAGGAAUAAGCCCCGGCUAACUACGUGCCAGCAGCCGCGGUAAUACGUAGGGGGCAAGCGUUAUCCGGAAUCACUGGGCGUAAAGGGUGCGUAGGUGGUUUUGUAAGUCUGAGGUAAAAGGUCACGGCUCAACCGUGGUAAGCCUUGGAAACUGCAAAACUUGAAUGCAGGAGAGGAAAGUGGAAUUCCUAGUGUAGCGGUGAAUGCGUAGAUAUUAGGAGGAACAUCCAUGGCGAAGGCAGCUUUCUGGACUGUUAUUGACACUGAGGCACGAAAGCGUGGGGAGCAAACAGGAUUAGAUACCCUGGUAGUCCACGCCGUAAACGAUGAGUACUAGGUGUCGGGGGUCG
rnacentral:rRNA from 1 species